GUGGGGAAUAUUGGACAAUGGGGGGAACCCUGAUCCAGCCAUGCCGCGUGUGUGAAGAAGGCCUUUUGGUUGUAAAGCACUUUAAGCGAGGAGGAGGCUACCGAGAUUAAUACUCUUGGAUAGUGGACGUUACUCGCAGAAUAAGCACCGGCUAACUCUGUGCCAGCAGCCGCGGUAAUACAGAGGGUGCAAGCGUUAAUCGGAUUUACUGGGCGUAAAGCGCGCGUAGGUGGCCAAUUAAGUCAAAUGUGAAAUCCCCGAGCUUAACUUGGGAAUUGCAUUCGAUACUGGUUGGCUAGAGUAUGGGAGAGGAUGGUAGAAUUCCAGGUGUAGCGGUGAAAUGCGUAGAGAUCUGGAGGAAUACCGAUGGCGAAGGCAGCCUUCUGGCCUAACACUGACGCUGAGGUGCGAAAGCAUGGGGAGCAAACAGGAUUAGAAACCCGAGUAGUCC
rnacentral:rRNA from 1 species